rnacentral:rRNA from 1 species
CACGUACUGUGCGAACGUUAUUCGGGAUCACUGGGCUUAAAGGGUGCGUAGGCGGCGAUUCAAGUCAGAUGUGAAAUGCCUGAGCUCAACUGAGGCAUUGCGUUUGAAACUGAAUUGCUAGAGUAUUUCAGGGGUGUGCGGAACUGCCAGUGGAGCGGUGAAAUGGGUUGAUAUUGGCAGGAACACCGGAGGUGAAGGCGGCACACUGGGGAAUAACUGACGCUGAGGCACGAAAGCUAGGGGAGCGAACGGG